UAGCGAAAUUAUGAACUAGAAUAACAAAGACGGCAAUGUUGGCAGCUCCGGCAGCCACGACUAGAACAAGAAUACAUGUGGGAGGUUUGGGACAGAGCGUCAGCAGCGAUGAUCUGCGGAAGAUAUUCUCCGCCGUGGGCACGGUGGAAGGAAUGGACAUCGUAAGGACCAAAAGCCGGAGUUUCGCAUACGUCGACAUACUCCCGUCUUCUUCCCAUUCAAUCUCCAAGCAUUUUAGCAUGUAUAAAGGGUGCGCUUGGAAAGGCGGCAAGCUGAAGCUCGAAAAGGCCAAAGAGCACUUUCUUGCUCGCCUGAAACGGGAAUGGGAGGAGACACAAUCUGAAGCUGAAGCUGAAUAAGGAAGCCGUCAAGCCAAGAAAUCUUCUUCAGAUAGCUCCAAUGGGAAAAACAAGGUUCAUGGUUCCCAAAACAACCAGCUUCGGAUCUUCUUUCCUAGAUUAUCAAAGCAUCUCAGAAAUUUGCCAGGCACUACUGCAUUACAAGAGGUUGCAAAGCCCGUUGGCGAGGAUGCGCUGCAGUCAUCUGCCAGAAAUCAUAGCAACAUAAAGGAGGAAUAUACUGCUUCAGGUGUCGGAAAAGAAAGAGACUCUAUUGAGAGUAUUCUGAAAAGCAAUCAUGAAACCAUCGAUGCCGAUAAGGAUGCUUCUGUUCGGGCAGUUGAGAAUUUAAGCAACUCCGAACCAGACAAAGGUUUCGGUGUAGAUACUAGCACAGGGGAAAGUUGUUCAUUUAUGAGAAGCUCUGCUUCAUUGAAGGAGUGGGCUAAAACCAAGGCCUCCCUGAAAGGGUCACGCAAGAAAAAAAACUAAAGGUGGUUUGAUGUAGUAGCACCCGAGCGUCCUUGUGAAAUUGUUGUUAUUGAUCGAUAUUGU